AGUUCAUCGUUUCUCUCUCUGUUCUUCGACUGACCGAUACAAUUUUUCUCUUCCUAAACUAUAUACAAAAUUAAUUGAUCUUCUAUAAUUUUUUUGGAUUUUCAAGACAUGCAUGAGGUUUCAGGAUUCAAUCGGAGGAAACUAAAUAUAAGACGCUGAUUUGAGAGAACGUUCAGAAUCAGGCUCUUCCAUGGUUUCGAUGGAAAAAAAUUCCGAGAUAUAACAACGAAAUCAGUUAAGAUUGAUCAUCUCGGAUGUUUCUCACACAUGCAUGAGCUUUGCUAUAUCAAUCUCUGUAAGGUUCAAGAUCAGACGCUGGCAAAAUCAAGAUCGAGUUAACUUCUUCAACUCAAUAGCGAUUAAGAAAAAGAUAAGUUUCUUAAAUUUUAGAUUCAUUAUAUGAAAUAAUAGAUUUUUUUAUGUUGCAGUUUAUGAACUGAAGAGAAACAAAGACGAUGAUCACCUAUACUAUAAUUGUCCUAUUGGAGUUUUUGUAUUGUAAAUCUAAUAGUAGAUGACCCUCGGUUUAAUUAUAGUUAAAUUUCGGAUUAAGAGAUUGGUUUAGGUUUAACAUAGGAUGUUGGUUUAAUUUAAGGUAUCCGGUUGUAUUUACUUUGUAGCGUCUAAUAACAACUUUUUAAGUAGAUAAAAUCUAGGACUCUAUUUUAAUAGAGUAGAUUCAAACACAUUGUCGUUGACAAAAAAAAAA